rnacentral:rRNA from 1 species
CAGGGAUUGCCUCAGUAACGGCGAGUGAAGCGGCAACAGCUCAAAUUUGAAAUCUGGCUCUCGGGCCCGAGUUGUAAUUUGUAGAGGGGAUUUCGGAGGCGGCGCCGGCCUAAGUUCCUUGGAACAGGGCGUCAUAGAGGGUGAGAAUCCCGUACGUGGCCGGCGGUCAAUUCCAUGUGAAACCCCUUCGACGAGUCGAGUUGUUUGGGAAUGCAGCUCAAAAUGGGUGGUAAAUUUCAUCUAAAGCUAAAUACCGGCCAGAGACCGAUAGCGCACAAGUAGAGUGAUCGAAAGAUGAAAAGCACUUUGGAAAGAGAGUUAAAAAGUACGUGAAAUUGUUGAAAGGGAAGCGCUUGCAACCAGACUUGCUCGCGGGUGAUCAGCCCCCCUUCGCGGGGGGUGCACUCGCCCGCGAUCAGGCCAGCAUCGGUUUUGACGGGCGGAUAAAGGCCCCGGGAAUGUAGCUCCCCUCGGGGAGUGUUAUAGCCCGAGGUACCAUGCGCCCAGUCGGGACCGAGGACCGCGCUUCGGCUAGGAUGCUGGCGUAAUGGUUGUAAGCGACCCGUCUUGAAACACGGACCAAGGAGUCUAACAUCUAUGCGAGUGUUUGGGUGAUAAACCCAUGCGCGGAAUGAAAGUGAACGGAGGUGGGAGCCCCUUUCGGGGGGCGCACCAUCGACCGAUCCAGAUGUCUUCGGAUGGAUUUGAGUAGGAGCAUAGCUGUUGGGACCCGAAAGAUGGUGAACUAUGCCUGGAUAGGGUGAAGCCAGAGGAAACUCUGGUGGAGGCUCGCAGCGGUUCUGACGUGCAAAUCGAUCGUCAAAUCUGGGUAUAGGGGCGAAAGGCAAGCUACCCGUGUUAAUUCUUUUAUGACAAUAUGCUAACAAAUU